UCUGCAUCAAGCAGACGUAGAGCUCUAAACGAGAAGAUGACGUGUAAGUUAUUGGUCCAGGUCCUGCUAGUCUAUGUCAGUGUGGUGCUGGACGGUGCCUCAGCCGCAUGCAAGGAUGAAAUCAAUCGUUACGAGGGCCAUCCAUGUUAUAAAUGUAUGGAUGUGAAGGAAGACGCCGUGUGGAUUAUAGAAGAGUGCCUGCCACCCCCAUGCACCGACUAUGUAACAGCGCCUGAUACGUGCUGCCCUGUCUGUUCUAAUGGUUUUAACUGUAUGGCUCCUGACGGUCGACUAAUUAAACUUGGAGAGAGCCUGGUGAUGGCUAAUGGUGUGCUGUGUGAGUGCUGGAAUUCGUCGUCUGGACUCAAUACUAUCUGCAGCAUUGCAUAAAUGACGUGUGCUCGAUUGGAUUCAAUCUUCAGCCACAACCAUUGCACACUACCACAGGGCACAACCAACACGCGCAACCACCGCACAUACCCAUCUAGUACAGCCGCCAAACACUACCAUAACGCCAAAUA